AUUGAACGCUGGCGGCAGGCCUAACACAUGCAAGUCGAGCGAGCGGCGGACGGGUGAGUAAUGUAUGGGGACUGCCCGAUAGAGGGGGAUAACUACUGGAAACGGGGGUUAAUACCGCAUACUAUCGGAUAACCCAUAUGGUUUUAGCUAGUAGUGGGGGUAAAGGCUCACCUAGGCGACGAUCUCUCGCUGGUCUGAGAGGAUGAUCAGCCACACUGGGACUGAGUCACGGCCCAGACUCCUACGGAGGCAGCAGUGGGGAAUAUUGCACAAUGGGCGCAAGCCUGAUGCAGCCAUGCCGCGUGUAUGAAGAAGGCCUUAGGGUUGUAAAGUACUUUCAGCGGGGAGGCGGUAGACGAAGAAGAAGCACCGGCUAACUCCGUGCCAGCAGCCGCGGUAAUAG
rnacentral:rRNA from 1 species